UGGUGCUACACUGCUACUGCUCCUAUGAUGGCUACACAUUGGUAGGCUCGACUGCCUCCCUUGGCUGUCGCUGGAUCAGCCUAGUCUACAACCACUUCCGAUGACUCAGGAGUUCCUCGGCCAAACAAAUUCGAAGAAGCUCAAAGCCCCAGUCAAAGGCUCGCUUUAUAUAUUAUUGAACUUGUAAUGCAAAAUUUGCUUGGAAUUUUGACGUAAUGCUGAUCUUGCUAGGAAUUGGGUGUAUAUUUACUUGUUGUACCUAUUAUUUAAUGUUCGAUGUACUUGUUAUUCAAAUGCUGGGAAUUUGUAUUUGUGCUAAAUGUAUUUAGUUGGAUGUGAA